rnacentral:lncRNA from 1 species
UAUUUUUUCUCAUCUUAGUUUGCUAUUUUGGCGCGAUUUUGACAAUUUCUGGCGCAUUCCACUUAUUUACUUUAGCGGCCAUAGGGCAAUGGUUUACUAACGGGAGAUGUGAUGAAUUGCAGCGGCAAUACUUGGAAUAUAAAGAAGAAGUGAAACAAUUAUGAUACCUAUUAUUUUUUAUAAUGACAGAAGGAACGUGGAAGAAAAAACUUUUUGUGCAGCAUGUGAAAACAAGGAAAUAGAAUGAAAGAAGGACUGCUACUUUUCAUGCUCCCGAAACCAGCCACCUCAUCAUCAUGGCAUGCUGCAUUGGAGCUCUGCUGGAGUUUGCUGAUGACAGGAUGCUGAAGGGCUGAAGCUGGCUGCUGGUAGCUCUGGCAGGAGUCCAAGUGUCCACCAGCUCAAUAUCCGACGCCGCCGCGUCGCCGCCGUGCGGCACUCCGCGGAGACGGGGACGGCGGUCAUGAUUGAAGACACCGCAUUUCCCGCCUGGACUGUCCGGUCGGAGACUGGUAAUCCCUCCGGUGAGCCGCACACCGUGGAGCUACUGCACCGCGCGUGUCCACCCGCAGCGCAGUGCCAGCAACGGUGCCGUGAGUGCGACAUCUGCGUGCAUAUGACGCAGUGCAACUGUCACGACUCGCGGCUCAGUGUUAACUGUCAGUGUGACAGUGCGGCUCGCGCUCGUUUUAGCGAGGUGCUCUGUUGUAUAUAACCACCUUGAUGGAGACCUAUGUGCUGCUGCUUGAGUUUCAAUGUACAGUUUUAUGCAUCAAACUAGCGUAAGUAAAUGGCACUGCCAGAGGUCAAUUUGAAGCGCAAUUAGUACCCAUAACCCAGCUGGGUUGAGCGAGUCAUGUGACUAGUCCCGAUGAACGUACUGUUUCGAUGUCGUCAGUCGUAGACUUUUGUAAACCAUUCGUUUCGAAGCUCUGUGUUGUGUUGUUCGGGACCGCAGUUGUUUUAGCAGUUUGCUUUAUGCGUCGUACGCUGACAGAACGCUGGUCGUACACAGGUCAUGUGUUUCCUUUCGCCCCUAAUGGGUUACUGCGGUACCUAUGCAGUUGGAAUGGUUGGAAUGUGUCUCGAGACACUAACUGGUCGCACUUGGUUGUGAAAAUGACACUAGCUGGUCGGAUUUGGUUUCAAGCUGCGCUUGGAAAUCGUGCAAUUUUAUUUGCAUUUUGCAAUGCAAUUUUAUUGCCGUUACCGUAUUGGUAGAUAGUGUCAGAAGUUGGCCAUUUGAUGCGUUGUCACUUGUCAGACGCUGUUGCCUUAGUACUGACGAAUUGACGGGCCGCGUUUGUGUUCCUGUUAAGAAACGGAUCUCAAUAUAAGGUGAUUCAGAGG